rnacentral:rRNA from 1 species
CCUACGGGUGGCAGCAGUGAGGAAUAUUGGUCAAUGGCCGCGAGCCUGAACCAGCCAAGCAGCGUGAAGGAUGACUGCCCUACGGGUUGUAAACCUCUUUUAUAAAGGGAUAAAGUGAGGCACGUGUGCCUUUUUGUAUGUACUUUAUGAAUAAGGAUCGGCUAACUCCGUGCCAGCAGCCGCGGUAAUACGGAGGAUCCGAGCGUUAUCCGGAUUUAUUGGGUUUAAAGGGAGCGUAGAUGGGUUGUUAAGUCAGUUGUGAAAGUUUGCGGCUCAACCGUAAAAGUGCAAUGGAUACUGGCAGCCUUGAGUACAGUUGAGGUAGGCGGAAUUCGGGGUGUAGCGGUGAAAUGCUUAGAUAUCACGAAGAACUCCGAUUGCGAAGGCAGCUUACUAAACUGCCACUGACAUUGAUGCUCGAAAGUGUGGGUAUCAAACAGGAUUAGAUACCCCAGUAGUC